GUUCCUGUAGUUUAACGGAUAGAGCAUCGGUCUUCGGAACCGAGAAUCUGGGUUCGAAUCCCAGCAGGAACGCCA
rnacentral:tRNA from 1 species